AUGCACAUUUCAUUGUCCCAUUCUUUUUUACUAUAAGAACUGAGAUAUUUCUUAUGUGCUAUAGAAAUAUUGGAGGUAAAUUAGCAGUGUGGCUGUGUUGUGCCAGUACUGCCAGUCCCCUUCAUACACUC